ACUGUCUGAAAAUCAUCCCUGGCCUCUUCCAGUGGCCUUGGGUGAGAUAACGGUGCGUAAAGCAAAGGGAGCAUUAAGCUUAUUGCCCAUCAGCUCAACGUGUUGGGCAAUGAAACCCAUGCUCCUAUAUGU
ensembl:snoRNA small nucleolar RNA ACA64